AAUGUAGCAAUCAGCUCAGUUACACGUCAGGAUUGACUUGUUUAUUUUUCAAGUUAUGCUCGGUUGGAAAUCAAAGGCAUCUGAGCCUCAGAUACAAUAGAUUUUCCAUGGAAAAGCCAGAUAAACACACACAAGGAAAGCUGAUCUAAUGAGGAAAACUGUGGCCCAGCAUUUCUGUGUUCCAGGAUAAGGGGCAUUACCAGGUCACAAGAAAGAGGAAGAAGAAGAUGUCAGCUCACCGUGGUUGCUUCUGAGUCUGGGUUUUCCUUGAUCUUCUAAAGGAGGAAAGCCAAGCAAAAGGUGAUCUGAACCCCAGAAAGGAAGCUGAAGUGUUCUUUUGUGCUUGAGGAUUUGUGCGGGAUGACAUUUUUAU